CAGGAGGCCCAGCCUCGUGAUGAGGAAUAGCAAGGAGAGAAUUCAGCUCCAGUUCGAAAGCCUGCAAAAUCUGAGCCCCUCACUGCUUUUAUAAGGAUUCCAGCUUUCUCUCCUGGCCAGAAAUGUUCACCCUGGACUCAUUCAGAAAAGAUCGGACCCAGCACAGGCAGCGUCAAUGCAAGCUUCCCCCACCCCGCCUUCCACCCAUGUGUGUCAACCCUGCCCCUGGAGGGACCAUCUCUCGAGGUAAGAGCAGGAUUCUUGCUUCCAGUAAGAGCUUGGUCUGAGAUCCGUGGGUAGGUGGGUGGCAGUGGAAACCCUGUACUGGGGUCAUGCUUCUAGAAAAUGAGUCACAAGGCUAGGUAAGCUUGGCAAAGAAGACAGACCCCAAGAGAGAAAAUACAAUAGGUUUUUCAUGGUCCUU
rnacentral:lncRNA from 1 species